CACGUAGGGACCAAGCGUUGUCCGGAAUUAUUGGGCGUAAAGCGCUCGUAGGCGGUUCGGUAAGUCGGGUGUGAAAUCUCCAGGCUCAACCUGGAGGGGUCAUUCGAUACUGCCGUGACUAGAGGUCGGUAGGGGAGUGUGGAAUUCCUGGUGGAGCGGUGAAAUGCGCAGAUAUCAGGAGGAACACCAGUAGCGAAGGCGGCACUCUGGGCCGAUACUGACACUGAGGAGCGAAAGCGUGGGGAGCGAACAGG
rnacentral:rRNA from 1 species